AUCUAGCUGAAGAUUCUCAAAUAGGAUGAAACGCGCAUCCCUAGAU
rnacentral:hammerhead_ribozyme from 1 species